UCAGUCAGGCACAGAAACAUGCUUAUGCUGCCCUCAUCAACAUUGAAAAUGCACUCAAAAAGCACAUAUGUCAUGGCAAUAAAAAUUUUCAAUAAAUUACCAGACGCACUUAGAAACGAAGAACUAGACUCUACCUUCAUAAGAAGAUAAAACAUUUUUUUUUUUUUUUUUUUAAUUCAAACAUAUUACACAGUAUUACAGUGAGACACUAAGGCACUGUGGAAUGCAUACAAUAUUAUUAUUAUCCUAAAACGUUAACAUAAAGUUGUGUUAUACAAUAACAA